rnacentral:rRNA from 1 species
GAGUUUGAUCAUGGCUCAGAUUGAACGCUGGCGGCAUGCCUUACACAUGCAAGUCGAACGGCAGCACGGGAGCUUGCUCCUGGGUGGCGAGUGGCGAACGGGUGAGUAAUGCAUCGGAACGUAUCCUGGAGUGGGGGAUAACGUAGCGAAAGUUACGCUAAUACCGCAUAUUCUGUGAGCAGGAAAGCGGGGGACCUUCGGGCCUCGCGCUCUUGGAGCGGCCGAUGUCGGAUUAGCUAGUUGGUGAGGUAAAGGCUCACCAAGGCGAUGAUCCGUAGCAGGUCUGAGAGGAUGAUCUGCCACACUGGAACUGAGACACGGUCCAGACUCCUACGGGAGGCAGCAGUGGGGAAUUUUGGACAAUGGGGGCAACCCUGAUCCAGCCAUGCCGCGUGAGUGAAGAAGGCCU